CAUAAUGUACUAAAAGGAGGCUGACAUUGUUUACAUACACAAAAAUAUACAUAUGAGUAGAUAAAGAGUUAAUUUUUUUUCGACAGAUUCUUUAGAUUUGUGGUGCUGGUAACAUGGAAACAUGUUUAAGUGUUUUUAAAGAUUUUAAAGAGUGUGCCAGUGUGUAAACGGCUUUAAAAAAUUCUUUUUAUUGGGGUUUUGCGUAGGUUGACUGAGAAAGAAGUAUCCAUUAUAAACAUCAACCUAAAACAGAAGGCGUCCCUAUAUAUUAUAUAACAAGCCCGAGAUAGCAGGCGUUAUUCUAAAGCAUUAAUGGUCAGAAGAAAAGAGUUGCAUUGAAAAACAGAAGACCAAAAUUUUCAUUCAGAAGUACAACUUUAUGGACCCGGAAUAGCAGAUUCAUGCUUAAUAAAAUGAAGGUGGACAUUAACUUCAGUUAUACGGCGUGCCAUGGACCGCCUUCUUCAGCAAGGCGGAAUUUUCUAAUAUUGUGUUGUACAUA